AGGUUAAGCGAAUAAGCGUACACGGUGGAUGCCUAGGCAAUCAGAGGCGAUGAAGGACGUGCUAAUCUGCGAAAAGCGUCGGUAAGGUGAUAUGAACCGUUAUACCCGACGAUAUCCGAAUGGGGAAACCCAGUAUCCAAUGGAUACUAUCAUUAACUGAAUCCAUAGGUUAAUGAGGCGAACCGGGAGAACUGAAACAUCUCAGUACCCCGAGGAAAAGAAAUCAACCGAGAUUCCCCUAGUAGCGGCGAGCGAACGGGGAGCAGCCCAGAGUCUUAAUCAAUAGCAGUGUCAGGAGAACGGUCUGGAAAGUCCGGCAGUAAAGGGUGAUAGCCCCGUAUCUGAAGAUGCUGUUAUUGUGAACUCGACGAGUAGGGCGGGACACGUGUUAUCCUGUCUGAAUAUGGGGGGACCAUCCUCCAAGGCUAAAUACUCCUGAUUGACCGAUAGUGAACCAGUACCGUGAGGGAAAGGCGAAAAGAACCCCGGCGAGGGGAGUGAAAAAGAACCUGAAACCGUGUACGUACAAGCAGUAGGAGCCCCAUCACUCAAGUGCCUCGCACUGAGUGAUGCAAUAACAUCACCGAAAAUAGCGCCGAAUUUGCUAACAAGGUUGGUCGAUUUUUUCAAGCCGUCGCGCAGUGUACCUAGAAGUACACGAGCAACGGAAGUUAAAAAAUCGGGCAAGAUUGAACGCAAAGGCAAGCGGGACAUUUGAGGAUGGGGUGACUGCGUACCUUUUGUAUAAUGGGUCAGCGACUUAUAUUCUGUAGCGAGGUUAACCGUAUAGGGGAGCCGUAGGGAAACCGAGUCUUAACUGGGCGAAUGAGUUGCAGGGUAUAGACCCGAAACCCGGUGAUCUAUCCAUGGGCAGGUUGAAGGUUGGGUAACACUAACUGGAGGACCGAACCGACUAAUGUUGAAAAAUUAGCGGAUGACUUGUGGAUGGGGGUGAAAGGCCAAUCAAACCGGGAGAUAGCUGGUUCUCCCCGAAAGCUAUUUAGGUAGCGCCUCGUGAAUUCAUCUUCGGGGGUAGAGCACUGUUUCGACUAGGGGGUCAUCCCGACUUACCAACUCGAUGCAAACUGCGAAUACCGAAGAAUGUUAUCACGGGAGACACACGGCGGGUGCUAACGUCCGUCGUGAAGAGGGAAACAACCCAGACCGCCAGCUAAGGUCCCAAAGUCAUGGUUAAGUGGGAAACGAAGUGGGAAGGCUCAGACAGCCAGGAUGUUGGCUUAGAAGCAGCCAUCAUUUAAAGAAAGCGUAAUAGCUCACUGGUCGAGUCGGCCCGCGCGGAAGAUGUAACGGGGCUAAACCAUGCACCGAAGCUGCGGCAGCGACACAAAGUGUUGUUGGGUAGGGGAGCGUUCUGUAAGCCUGCGAAGGUGUACUGUGAGGUAUGCUGGAGGUAUCAGAAGUGCGAAUGCUGACAUAAGUAACGAUAAUGCGGGUGAAAAACCCGCACGCCGGAAGACCAAGGGUUCCUGUCCAACGUUAAUCGGGGCAGGGUGAGUCGACCCCUAAGGCGAGGCUGAAAAGCGUAGUCGAUGGGAAACGGGUUAAUAUUCCCGUACUGGUGGUAACUGCGAUGGGGGAACGGAGAAGGCUAGGUUGUCCGGGCGACGGUCGUCCCGGUUCAAGCAGGUAGGCAGAGUGAUUAGGCAAAUCCGGUCACUUAAUGCUGAGAUGUGAUGACGAACCACCAAGGUGGUGAAGCAAUUGAUGCCCCGCUUCCAGGAAAAGCCUCUAAGCUUCAGGUUACCAACAAUCGUACCCCAAACCGACACAGGUGGUCAGGUAGAGAAUACUCAGGCGCUUGAGAGAACUCGGGUGAAGGAACUAGGCAAAAUGGUGCCGUAACUUCGGGAGAAGGCACGCUGGCGGUAGGUAAAGUCCCUUGCGGACGGCGCCCAAGCCAGUCGAAGAUACCAGCUGGCUGCAACUGUUUAUUAAAAACACAGCACUGUGCAAACACGAAAGUGGACGUAUACGGUGUGACGCCUGCCCGGUGCUGGAAGGUAAGUUCCGACCUGCACGAAUGGCGUAAUGAUGGCCAGGCUGUCUCCACCCGAGACUCAGUGAAAUUGAACUCGCUGUGAAGAUGCAGUGUACCCGCGGCAAGACGGAAAGACCCCGUGAACCUUUACUAUAGCUUGACACUGAACAUUGAGCCUUGAUGUGUAGGAUAGGUGGGAGGCUUUGAAGUGUGGACGCCAGUCUGCAUGGAGCCAACCUUGAAAUACCACCCUUUAACGUUUGAUGUUCUAACCUAGGCCCAUAAACUGGGUCGGGGACCGUGUCUGGUGGGUAGUUUGACUGGGGCGGUCUCCUCCUAAAGAGUAACGGAGGAGCACGAAGGUUGGCUAAGCAUGGUCGGACAUCAUGCGGUUAGUGCAAAGGCAUAAGCCAGCUUGACUGCGAGAGUGACGGCUCGAGCAGGUACGAAAGUAGGUCUUAGUGAUCCGGUGGUUCUGAAUGGAAGGGCCAUCGCUCAACGGAUAAAAGGUACUCCGGGGAUAACAGGCUGAUACCGCCCAAGAGUUCAUAUCGACGGCGGUGUUUGGCACCUCGAUGUCGGCUCAUCACAUCCUGGGGCUGAAGUAGGUCCCAAGGGUAUGGCUGUUCGCCAUUUAAAGUGGUACGCGAGCUGGGUUUAGAACGUCGUGAGACAGUUCGGUCCCUAUCUGCCGUGGGCGUUGGAAGAUUGAGAGGGGUUGCUCCUAGUACGAGAGGACCGGAGUGAACGCACCACUGGUGUUCGGGUUGUCAUGCCAAUGGCAUUGCCCGGUAGCUAAGUGCGGAAGAGAUAACCGCUGAAAGCAUCUAAGCGGGAAACUUGCCUCGAGAUGAGUCUUCCCUGUCGUUUAAGACUAAGACGUUGAUAGGCUGGGUGUGUAAGCGUAGCGAUACGUUGAGCUAACCAGUACUAAUGAACCGUGAGGCUUAACCUGACAACACCGA
rnacentral:rRNA from 1 species